GGAAGUAAAAGUCAUAACAAGGGCUCCGUUGGUGAACCAGCGGAGGGAUCAUUACCGAGUGCAAACUCAUAACCCUUUGUGAACCUAUAUCUGUUGCUUCGGCGGCUCGCUCUCGGGCGAGCCCGCCGGUAAUAUCAGUAUCUCUGUUUGAACCCGACGAUACUUCUGAGUGUUCUUAGCGAACAGUUAAAACUUUUAACAACGGAUCUCUUGGCUCUA
rnacentral:misc_RNA from 1 species